rnacentral:rRNA from 1 species
AUACAUAGGGGGCGAGCGUUAUCCGGAAUUAUUGGGCGUAAAGCGUGCGUAGGUGGUCAGUUAAGUCUGGCGUGAAAUUCCCUGGCUUAACCAGGGGGGGUCGUUGGAAACUGGCUGACUUGAAUCCAGAAGGGGUAAGUGGAAUUCCAUGUGUAGCGGUAAAAUGCAUAGAGAUAUGGAGGAACACCAGUGGCGAAGGCGGCUUACUGGUCUGGAAUUGACACUGAGGCACGAAAGCGUGGGUAGCAAACAGGAUUAGAUACCCUGGUAGUCCACGCCGUAAACGAUGAGCACUAAGUGUCGGACGAAAGUUCGGUGCUGUAGUUAACGCAUUAAGUGCUCCGCCUGGGGAGUACGGUCGCAAGACUGAA